rnacentral:rRNA from 1 species
UACGUAGGGUGCAAGCGUUAAUCGGAAUUACUGGGCGUAAAGCGUGCGCAGGCGGUUUUGUAAGUUUGUCGUGAAAGCCCCGGGCUCAACCUGGGAAUUGCGAUGAAGACUGCAAGGCUUGAAUCUGGCAGAGGGGGGUAGAAUUCCACGUGUAGCAGUGAAAUGCGUAGAGAUGUGGAGGAACACCGGAUGGCGAAGGCAGCCCCCUGGGUCAAGAUUGACGGCUCAU